CCAUAUCGUUCGCUUAAAUCUCGACUUCAAACGAAUAAAUGCGAAGGCAUCCGAAAGCCGACCGCGCCAUGCCUCCGGGCGUUCAGCGGCUCGAGGGAUUUGGACCGGGGCUGUCGACUAAAAACUGCGUCUCCAGUAUAGCAAACCGUAGAAUAAACAAAUUUAUCUUGGUAACUCUGGUGGAAAUGAGACUUAUAGUCAUCUUCGAGUACAUAAUAAAAAUUAAGUAUUGUUUAUGUCAACAAAGGAAGAAUCUUCGUUAAAUUGAUGACACGGUUGAAUACUUUUAAAACAUUAUCUACAAACUGUCAAAUAUCUACAAACUUGUCUAAAUUUGUCUUUAAAAUA